UACGUAGGGGGCAAGCGUUGUCCGGAAUUAUUGGGCGUAAAGAGCGCGUAGGCGGUCCGAUAAGUCGGCUGUGAAAGUCCAGGGCUCAACCCUGGAAAGCCGGCCGAUACUGUCGGACUAGAGUCCGGAAGAGGCGAGUGGAAUUCCCGGUGUAGCGGUGAAAUGCGCAGGAUAUCGGGAGGAACACCAGUGGCGAAGGCGACUCACUGGCCCGAUACUGACGCUGAGGCGCGAAAGCGUGGGGAGCGAACAGG
rnacentral:rRNA from 1 species